GCGCAUAGUGGCUUAGUGGUUAGCACGUUCGUCUCACACUUUAAGGGUUGAGGGUUUGAUUUCCGCCAUGUGUG